CGACCGGCGCACGGGUGAGUAACGCGUAUCCAACCUGCCCGCCACUUGGGGAUAACCUUGCGAAAGUAAGACUAAUACCCAAUGAUAUCUCUAGAAGACAUCUGAAAGAGAUUAAAGAUUUAUCGGUGAUGGAUGGGGAUGCGUCUGAUUAGCUUGUUGGCGGGGUAACGGCCCACCAAGGCAACGAUCAGUAGGGGUUCUGAGAGGAAGGUCCCCCACAUUGGAACUGAGACACGGUCCAA
rnacentral:rRNA from 1 species